UGAACCCUCGCGCGAAAUGAAAGUGAACGGAGGUGGGAGCCCCUCGGGGUGCACCAUCGACCGAUCCUGAUGUCUUCGGAUGGAUUUGAGUAUGAGCGUGGCUGUUGGGACCCGAAAGAUGGUGAACUUUGCAUGGAUAGGGUGAAGCCAGAGGAAACUCUGGUGGAGGCUCGCAGCGGUUCUGACGUGCAAAUCGAUCGUCAAAUCAGUGCAAAGGGGCGAAAGACUAAUCGAACCGUCUAGUAGCUGGUUCCUGCCGAAGUUUCCCUCAGGAUAGCAGUAACGAACCCAGUUUUAUGAGGUAGAGCGAAUGAUUAGAGGCCUUGGGGCUGAAACAGCCUUAACCUAUUCUCAAACUUCGAAUAUGUAAGAAGUCCUUGUUACUUAAUUGAACGUGGACGCUCGAAUGUACCGUUACUAGUGGGCCAUUUUUGGUAAGCAGAACUGGCGAUGCGGGAUGAACCGAACGCGAGGUUAAGGUGCCGGAAUGCACGCUCAUCAGACACCACAAAAGGUGUUAGUUCAUCUAGACAGCAGGACGGUGGCCAUGGAAGUCGGAACCCGCUAAGGAGUGUGUAACAACUCACCUGCCGAAUGAACUAGCCCUGAAAAUGGAUGGCGCUCAAGCGUGCUACCCAUACCUCGCCGCCGGGGCAGGAUCGAAGCCCCGGCGAGUAGGCAGGCGCGGCGGUCGGUGACGA
rnacentral:rRNA from 1 species